AGCUGACCAAUACUAAUUGCUCGUGAGGCUUGACUAUACAACACCCAAGCAGUUG
rnacentral:rRNA from 1 species